AGGGGUGUAGCUCAGUGGUAGAGCACUCACCUAGCAUGUGUGAGACCCUGGGUUUAGUUCCUAGCACAGCAA
rnacentral:tRNA from 1 species